AGACUUGCACAGUGGCAGUAUCAUAGCCAAUGAGGUUAAUCUGAGGCGCAGUUAUUGCUAAUUGAAAACUUUUCCCACCACGAUGACUUGAAAUACAGUCAGCAUUGGCAAUUUUUGACAGUCUCUAUGGAAA